GCUGGGUGUGGUGGCGCACGCCUGUAAUCCCAGUGGCUGGGGAGGCUGGGACAGGGGUAUCUAGAGUUCAAAGCCAGUGAGACCCUGUCUCUA
rnacentral:sRNA from 1 species